AACCCAUAAUGAUGACAUUUUCUAAAUAAAUCCUUAAAUCUCUCCCAUGUAUCAUAAAGAGUUUCAAUAUCAAACUGAAGAAAAGAAGAGAUGUCAUUUCUCAAUUU
rfam:Gossypium hirsutum cultivar TM-1 chromosome 9, whole genome shotgun sequence